UAGAGGUGGCGUAUGGCCUUUAGUCAUGUUGAUGAACCAUAGAUGACUCAUUCAAAUAAAAGUUAGAAGGCUCAUCAUCCCUUUAAAUAUAUUUGCACUUGGACAAGGCUUGAUCAAUCCCCAAAACCAUUGCAUCAAUCUUUGAGACUAGAGAGGGCUUCAGACCACUUGUUGCAGACAAGCCACUAAAGGCAAUUGCAGAUAGUAGUGAAGUACGAAGAACCAACUUCCAGGACAGGUUGUCAGAAUGCCAAUCAACUGCCAAUGCAAUGAUCCCUCUCCUUCAAAUGGCGCUCUGAUGUUAACUCAAAACAAAAUUGAUUUGAUGAAUCAUAGGAUGAACAAACAUCUGAAAAAGACAGGAAAUUUUGUGCAUGGAAUCCAAGAGCAUGUGAGAAUAGGGUCUAAGAUCUCUGAAACUGUGAAGGGCAAGUUGAGAUUGGGGGCUAGGAUUCUUCAACUUGGAGGGGUGAAGAAAGUUUUCAGACAAAUUUUUGGUUUUGGAAAAGGAGAGAAGCUGUUGACGGCUUCUCAAUGUUAUUUAUCAACAACAACGGGCCCUAUAGCAGGCCUCCUCUUAAUCUCAACUCAAAGGCUUGCAUUUUUCAGUGAAAGAUCAAUCAGAUUUUCUUCCCCAAAUGGUGAAUUGGUUUGAUUUCAUUACAAGGUCUCUAUCCCACUAAGAAAGAUAAAGAGAGCCAACCAAAGUGAGAAUGUGAAAAAUCCUUCUCAGAAGUAAAUGGAAAUUGUUACUGUGGAUAACUUUGACUUUUGGUUUAUGGGAUUCUUGAAUUACCAGAAAGCUUUCAGCUAUCUUCGAGAGGCAAUCUCUCAAGUGCAGAAUCCACUCCAGAACUUAUUCAAGUCAUAAGUUUCCCCCCUCCCGUUUCAACAAAUGUAUUUACAUGAACCUGAUAAAACUCUGCACAGUCAAAGGCUUUGUACAAAUUUUUUUGUUAAUGAGAAAUUGAUCUCCAAUUCUUCAACCGCUUA